rnacentral:rRNA from 1 species
CACGUAGGGCGCGAGCGUUGUCCGGAAUUAUUGGGCGUAAAGAGCUCGUAGGCGGCCUGUUGCGUCCGCUGUGAAAGCCCGGGGCUUAACCCCCGGGUCGGCAGUGGAUACGGGCAGGCUAGAGGUAGGUAGGGGAGAAUGGAAUUCCCGGUGUAGCGGUGAAAUGCGCAGAUAUCGGGAGGAACACCGGUGGCGAAGGCGGUUCUCUGGGCCUGUACUGACGCUGAGGAGCGAAAGCGUGGGGAGCAAACAGG